GUGGGUAGUUUGACUGGGGCGGUCUCCUCCUAAAGAGUAACGGAGGAGCACGAAGGUUGGCUAAUCCUGGUCGGACAUCAGGAGGUUAGUGCAAUGGCAUAAGCCAGCUUGACUGCGAGCGUGACGGCGCGAGCAGGUGCGAAAGCAGGUCAUAGUGAUCCGGUGGUUCUGAAUGGAAGGGCCAUCGCUCAACGGAUAAAAGGUACUCCGGGGAUAACAGGCUGAUACCGCCCAAGAGUUCAUAUCGACGGCGGUGUUUGGCACCUCGAUGUCGGCUCAUCACAUCCUGGGGCUGAAGUAGGUCCCAAGGGUAUGGCUGUUCGCCAUUUAAAGUGGUACGCGAGCUGGGUUUAGAACGUCGUGAGACAGUUCGGUCCCUAUCUGCCGUGGGCGCUGGAGAACUGAGGGGGGCUGCUCCUAGUACGAGAGGACCGGAGUGGACGCAUCACUGGUGUUCGGGUUGUCAUGCCAAUGGCACUGCCCGGUAGCUAAAUGCGGAAGAGAUAAGUGCUGAAAGCAUCUAAGCACGAAACUUGCCCCGAGAUGAGUUCUCCCUGACUCCUUGAGAGUCCUGAAGGAACGUUGAAGACGACGACGUUGAUAGGCCGGGUGUGUAAGCGCAGCGAUGCGUUGAGCUAACCGGUACUAAUGAACCGUGAGGCUUAACCUUACAA
rnacentral:rRNA from 1 species